UUCAUUUUUUUUGUUUUAAAACAAUAAACAGAGGGGUGGGGAAAUUUUGCUAGGGUUUUUCAACCCCCCAGCCCUCCAUGCCGCCGCCGCCGCUCAAGCCAUCCACGGCCUCCGUCGACGCCCCAGCCUCCGAUUGCGACGGAGAGGGGUCACCGCAACGGCACGUCGGCUCCGGCGAUUAGGUGAUCGUGGGAGCACGUGCGAGGAAGGCGUGCAAGGGCCGGCGACAAGGGUGGCUGCUGUUGAGGGUGGCUGCUGCUAGUUUUUCUGCUUAGGUUUUUCUUGAUUUAAUUUUGUGUUGGGCUAGGGUUAGUUUUUUAGGUUAUUGGGCUUGGUAAUUUGGGCCUGUUUUUAUUUAUUUUGGUAUUUGUUUUAAAUUUGUUUUUUUGGUUUUAUUAUUUGUAUAUGGGCUGGGCUAAAUUGGGUAUUACAAUAUAUAUAAUUACGAGGAAACAAACAAACAAGGCAAGGCUAAGGUAAA